AGUGAACGCUGGCGGUAGGCCUAACACAUGCAAGUCGAACGGCAGCACAGGAGAGCUUGCUCUCUGGGUGGCGAGUGGCGGACGGGUGAGGAAUACAUCGGAAUCUACUCUGUCGUGGGGGAUAACGUAGGGAAACUUACGCUAAUACCGCAUACGACCUACGGGUGAAAGCAGGGGAUCUUCGGACCUUGCGCGAUUGAAUGAGCCGAUGUCGGAUUAGCUAGUUGGCGGGGUAAAGGCCCACCAAGGCGACGAUCCGUAGCUGGUCUGAGAGGAUGAUCAGCCACACUGGAACUGAGACACGGUCCAGACUCCUACGGGAGGCAGCAGUGGGGAAUAUUGGACAAUGGGCGCAAGCCUGAUCCAGCCAUACCGCGUGGGUGAAGAAGGCCCUCGGGUUGUAAAGCCCUUUUGUUGGGAAAGAAAUCCAGCUGGCUAAUACCCGGUGGGGAUGACGGUACCCAAAGAAUAAGCACCGGCUAACUUCGUGCCAGCAGCCGCCGCGG
rnacentral:rRNA from 1 species